rnacentral:rRNA from 1 species
UACGGAGGGUGCAAGCGUUGCUCGGAAUCAUUGGGCGUAAAGCGUACGCAGGCUGUUCGUUAAGUCGGGUGUGAAAGCCCGGGGCUCAACCCCGGAAAUGCGCCCGAAACUGGCGAGCUUGAGUGCGGGAGAGGGAAGCGGAAUUCCUGGUGUAGAGGUGAAAUUCGUAGAUAUCAGGAGGAACACCUAUGGCGAAGGCAGCUCUCUGGGACGGUACUGACGCUGAGACGCGAAAGCGUGGGGAGCGAACAGG